rnacentral:lncRNA from 1 species
GACUCACUGCUGCAGUGAGCGCCUUGGCGGUGGUGCGGCGGACCCGACGAGCUGGUGGCCUGGAAUGCAACGGACAACGGCGGAUCUGGCACGUGGGAGCGCUUGUCUGCAGGGGAGCAUGGCGAGCAAAGGUGGUGUCAUGGCGCGGCGGCCAGAUCUGGGGAGUUGCGUCUGUGUGCGCAUGGUGGGAUGGUCUGGCGACACGGGCCGGUGCGUCGGAUGGCUGUGUUCUACGCCUGGUUCGAUUGCGUUGUGCCAUGUGGAGGCAGUGGCGGUGAAGUCGGGGUUACUGGUGGUCUCUCCUUCAAGCGACGGCUGCGCCAUCCAAUUUGCUUGGUGUUGUACGAGGCUCCCAUAGACCCGAUCCUGCAUGAAUUCUGUUGCUCUUGCGUGCGGCGGUGCGGGCAGCGCAAUUUGGCUUGGUUCCCGCACAUGUCCUGCGCGCGGCGGUGCGGACCGGCUAGGUCCGGCUGUUCCUCGACCGGUGCGGAGGCUUGCCCAGAUCUGCGCACAGAGGUAAAGGACGGCCUGAUCCAUCUUGGUCGCCCAGGGCCUGCGAGCGGCGGUGCGGACCGGUCAGAUUGGCGUGUGCUUGUCGAGUUCCUGCGUGUGGCUUCGACGGAUUCGUUUCUGGCAGUGUCUGGUUUGGGUCGUGAUGCACCGUGGCACCGGUGGCCUCGGAUCCUAGGAUUGUUGGUGGAAGGCUCGGUUCCGAAUGAAAAUCUUGCAUCGACCUUGUCGUUGCGAGCGAUAACGGUAUCCAUGGAUGUCGUCUCCCUCCUUGGAGGUAUCGCUGUGGGGCCGUUUGCCCUUCGUACCAACUGGCGUGAGAUCUCCGGGUGAAAACCUAAGAUCAGGCGGUGCCAGAUCGGGUGACGACGGUGUCCUCAAUAUCGUUUCUUCUUUGGGGGCGUCACCUUGAAGAUCCCGACGAUGGAUUUCGAUGGUAGGCACGAUUGAUGGUAGAGCUUGGGUUUGUGGUGCUGCCGACGGAUCUUUCUUUCUUUUCUUUGUGCACUGCCCUUUGCCGUGCUUUCCUCCUCUGAGGACUCUUGUAACACCCUCCUCUGAUAAAUGAAUUUGGCAGUUCAACUGCCGACAUUUAAAAAAAAGAAAAGCAACCUAAAAAUUUGUAAUAGUAAAGUCAGGCACGGACCUACCUGACCUUACACAAUGACAAUCAGGUAUUCAAUCAUGUCAUGCUUGGCAACCAUGCUGUUUCGUGGGCUGCGAGUCAUUCAAAUCGCUGCCACUCAAUGCAGCCUCCAGCUUGUCCUGGAGGAUGUUGAUGCGAACUGCGGCUCUACCAAUCCUCUAGAUCGAUCGCCUUGCGAUCUUGCCAUGCCAUCGCCGCCAUAACCGCCGGUUCUAACCCCGACGGUGGCUGCAAGCCCUACAUCAGAUCAUUUUCUGACAUACGAAUAUCAUACAUUAGAUCAAUCAGUUCAUAACACCAUAUAUGCAGCAUCAAUAGUUCUACAUCAGCAGCAGAAAUUGGUGCAACUCUGGAUGAAUAGGGCGGCAUCCCGCUACUCACCUUGCCUGACGAGCUCAUGGCCAACGACUGGGAGGAGGGGAGGGGCACGAACGGGGUUCCUUCGCUGGUUCUGGUCGUCGUCCGGAGUGGGGAAGCGUCCGCCAGAGUGGAGCUCCGGCCGGACCGACUAGGAGCUGCUGCGAGGGAGGAGCCCCGCCCUAGGAGUCGCGACAGAGGAUGGAGAAGCGACACAAGAUGGAUCCUACCCGCCAGCCAUGUCGCCAGAGCUAGCCGCGACGAGUAGCCAGCGACCGGCGGCGGCAGUGGCGGACACGAGAGGGGGAUUGAGGCGCCGGGCAACUGGGGUCAGGGGAGUUUCCGUAAUAUCGACAAACCAUGGUGCCUGAAGCUACUCUUCCUCCAAAACACUCUUUAUCUAUAGUCUCAUACUCCCUCCGUCCGAAAAUAAGUAUAGUUGCUAUAGUAUAUAAGGCAUGUUUGGUUCAUAAGUCUUAGGACUUUUUAUAGUCCCAACUUAUAAGUCCUAAGGGGGUGUUUGGUUACAUGGACUUAUUAGGGACUUAGAACUUAUAAGUCCCUUUAAGUCCCAUCUAAACCAAACAGGAGAGACUUAUAGACACUUAUAGGGACUUAUAGUUGUAAUAUGGUCUUUUAGUUCACUAAAAGACCAUAUUACAACUAUAAGUCCCUCCUUAAGAGUCUUAUUUCAUAAGUCCCAAAUGCCCACUUUAAGUCCCUAUAAGUCCCUCUUGUUUGGUUUAGAUGGGACUUAAAGGGACUUAUAAGUUCUAAGUCCAUGUAACCAAACACCCUCUAAGUCCCUAAAAAGUUCCUACAAGUUUGGUUCCUAGGACUUAACAUGGACUAAAAGACCAUAUUACAACUAUAAAUCCCUAUAAGUACCUCUUUGAGAGUCUUAUUUCAUGAGUCCCAAAUACCCACUUUAAGUCCCUAUAAGUCCCUCCUGUUUGGUUUAGAUGAAACUUAAAAGGACUUAUAAGUUCUAAGUCCCUAAUAAGUCCAUGUAACCAAACACCUCCAUAAUAGCACAACGUCAGACCAGACCAACACCGUCGAUGCAACUAAAAUCUGACAGCUAACAAACUAUGUUUCUUAAAGAAAAGGCAAUUGGUAGGAAAGUAAUCACCCGCAACCCCGCGUGUAACGCUCCCCUAAUCUCUCCCUAAAAAACCUCCGCCAAUCUCUCCUAAUGGCAAACGCAGCCGCACCGGCCGAGCUCCUCAACCUCGCACGCACCGCCCGAAGCCCGCCUCACCCGGAUCUCCUUCUCCUCCCCGCCUUGCAAGCAGCUGCCUCCUGCUCUCCUCAUCGUUGAGCAGCACGGCCACCCCACUAGCUAGCUUCGCCCUUACUUCACAACGCUCUUUGGCAUGUGGACCUUGUAAUAAUUUUUGUAUAAUGUAAUAAUUCUUUAUUGUUGUAAUUGUAUUAAGCUUUUGUUGCAUGGGAGCAAAUUUCUUUUUCUUUGGUAGCAAACUUUCAUUUGUUAGGAAACAAUGCACAAUUUAUGUUCCAGCGAAAAUAAAUGUAAAUGUUAUCACUAGAAGCAAAAUCACGUUGCAAUGGAAACAAAUUUUCUAGUCAAAUUUUUUUUAGGGUUAGUCAACUUAUUAGUUAGCUGGUUAGAGGUACAAUGAACAUUUAUAAUGGACCACCCAAAUUUCUGUUAGAUCUAACACAAAUUUCUAUUAUAUCGAACAAAUUUGAUUAUGGUUGAAGCAAAUUAGUGAGUUGCUAGAAGCAAAAAAAAUUGUCGCAUGAAGCAAACUUAAUUGUGAACAGUCUUGUUUGGAAACUCACAAUCAAGACUGGGAUGCACGUUGCUCUCAAAAAUGGAUGGGAUGCACGUUCUGGAUAGACCUGCAGCACACGAGUCUGCUUGGAGGAAUAAACGGUAAGAGAAAGAGGUUAGUUAGGAAGUCAACGAGAUUACAGGGAGUAGUUAUACGGAAGGAAGCGGUCAAUUAAUGAACCAAGACAGAAAAUCUCGGACGGUCCUGGCGAGCAGACGUGACAAUCUCUACGCUUUUCAUUGGUCGACCUUCGAAUGGUCUAAUGGAUGCAAAAUGUGUGCAGUCUGAUACCUAGCGGUUCCUAGAGGGAUGAAAAUAAGUUGAGCCAGCUUCUCCAAAACGAGUUCUUUUGGACUUCUAGCAUAUUUCUACGUUAAGCUGCUAGAAGCCCCAAAAUAACUUGCCCUUUGUGUUGUUGGGGAGAGAGAUGGAUGUGGAAUGGGAUACGACAAGGAAUCCUGCGCGAAGGACAUUUCGAGUGGAGGACGGUUUGCUUCUGUGUCGUUCCGCCUCUAUGGGUCGAGGGAGUAGGACCGUGUGAGCGAAGGGGCAUGACCGCGUGAAGGCACGUGGAUCAAUUUGAGGUGCAGAUUUGAGCCAUCCAUGGUGAAUCAAAUGGCUGAAAGUAAUUAUUGUGACGUGGAUGCAUGAGAAUGCAGAGAAAUCAGGUAGUGGGUGGCUCCUAUUUAGAUAUAGAAGAGUAACCUAGCAAAUUAUUAGGUACUCCUUCCGUCCCAUAACAUAAUAUAAGAGUGUUUUUACACUACAUUAAUGUAAAAAAGCUCUUAUAUUAUGGGGCGGAGGGAGUACUUGUGAAUCUAAAUUAGCACACAUUUUUCUAUUUCUUUCAUGGGAAAAAGAAACAUCCUUGCCUUUUAAUACAUUGGUACAAAUAUGAGUUUGUAGAAUCCUUGGUGAAGGUAACACUCAAAGGUUACAGCUCGACGCCUCUAACUGCUAGCCAGGACCAACGCUGAAAGCAAAGUCAUGUGACCUGCGCUCCCAUUGUCACCCGCUGCCUAGAUGUUGUCUUGAUUGUGUCAAUCAUGUGGGCUAAUCUGAGUUGAGUGUUGCCAAAGAUGACAACAUUGUGAUUCUUCCAGAAACACCAUGCCACGAGCAUAAUAGACAAGGAUGUGUCACUUCGGACUAUAGCAUGGAUGGAUUGACCGGGGCGGUUAAGGGCGAUCGUGCGAAGUGGCGCUAUCGACAUAGAUGGGGGCGGUGCCGGGGGUCGAGGAGCAUGAUGGGGGCGGCGUCGGGGGCAAGGAGAGCGGCAGGGGGCGGUGCUGGAGGAGGCAAGCGCGUUGGCGGUAGCACUAGGAGGGGAGGUCGAGGGAUGGGGGUGACGGCGCGAGUGGAGGACGAAGACCGCACGGAAUGAAAUUCUGGCCCCUAGUUUUCCCCAAAACUAUUAAGACACGUAGAAAAAUAUCUAUGGCAUUGCUAAUGUCAACAACGCCGUAGAUAUUCUAUCUAUGGCAUUAUUGACGCUAACGACGCCAUAGAUAUUUUUCCUUCAUUUACUUUUUCUUAUUUUAGAAUAACGGUAAUGUAGAUUUAUUACAUUGAUAAUAAACUUGAGUCGAUACAAAUAUUGAAUAAUAGGAGAUACAUAAAAGUAAGUAUGACAUUGUCUCUCAUUUCUCUCGACAACGGAAGUUACUGUCUCAGACAACACACUUUUGCUCCUUCUAACGCCGGAUUGGUCAAAAUCUUCCAUUUUUGUCUCUCUAGUCUUCGACAUGCUCCUCAUCGCCCCUUCGUUCCAGCUCCUUGUUAAAAGUGUUUCUCGCUUGCUGAAUCUUCGCGCGUCCUUCUUGUUCAUCCUGAUAAUUUGCCUCUUGGUUGUCCUUCCAUUCCGACUCUUUUUGUCCGUCCAAAUGAUCUUCAUCAUGUUUGGCAUUGGACUCAUUCUCCCCUUCUUCCAACUCUUCAUCGGGAGGGUAUCCUGCUUCUUCAUAUGCCUCCCCUUUGACGUUAGCAUCCUGCUCGUCCUUACAGUGCCUUCUUCAUCAUGGGUAACCAGGCAUGAAAUCAUGUUUGAGCAAGUGCGUCUUCAAUAGAAGGGUCGAUCAAAAUUUUGUUUUUGCACUUCUUACAUGGACAUAAUAUUUAUGGUUUACCCUUGCGGUUCAUAUCUUCCAACGGUGUCUUGACGAACACAUUUAAAGUUAGAUCCAUAUAUGCAUGGGUCAUACAAUAAAUCAAGUUGACUGCAAGGGCCACAAAACAUUUCAGCAUUAUGCAUUUGCUGCAAAUUAUGUAAUCGAAACUUGGGCGUUACCUAGAUCAUAGACGAAGGCGAAUUAGCUAGUCGUCGAUAGAACGAUCGGGAGGGUAGAGGCGAGCCACAUAUGUUAGGAUUUGUAGAGAGAUUGAUAUGAAGAAAUUAUUUCCCCAGAACAUAGUAUCAUAGCUGUAUAUAUAGGUGAGGUAAAAUGGUCAGAAUUGACAACGCAAAUACUAAUGGGAUGUCACUUUUAGGGAAGCAACUACCAUUUGUGACCAAAAAGUGGACCACAUAUCAUAUACUAGUGACAUGGCACAACGUAUCAUGCCACAAGUAGUCCUAAUAGUGGCAACGUUGGUUGGUUUUCCACGUCAACAGUAACUUGCACUUGAUCAGAAUGAUGGGUCCCACAUACAAUUGGCGUGCAAAAAUAUGCCAACGCCACCACUACAAGCAUAAUGAUGUCAUACCAAAUAUGCCAACCCCGUCACUAUUUGGAAAAUGUAGUCGUGGCAUUGGCUGAAAAUGGUGCUCAAAGCACAUAUGCUCCCUUGGCGGUUUUGAUAAUUCAUGACAACAUACAUUGUCUCUUGGACUAACACUUUUACCUAGUAUAUUUCAGGUAUAGUCCACAAAGCUCAUUGGCUAUAGGAUUGUGAGGAGAUGCCCCUUGAUGCAAGGAAGGAAUAGGAUUGGCUCAAGCUUCAAGCAAGAAGACUCUUCAUUUCACUUUGUGAGAAAUCACUUUGAGUCCAUAGGAAAGCCAAUACUAUUAAAAGGGGGAGAGGUAUUAUGAUGAAUUGGUUGCUCAAGUGCUUAGAGGUAGCCACCAAAAAUACUCAGCCAUUCUCUCGCAAAAUAUCUCUCUCCAAUCCCAAACCAACAAAAUCGGUGCCACCAACAAUUUCCACUCGGUCCUACCGAUUUUACACUUGACAGAUCGUAUGCCAAACACUACCAUCUCGGUACCACAAACAUUCCUAUCGGUGCCACCAAGAUUCAGUGACCAACUUUCUGUUGAGGAGAUUUCAAGAAUCGGAAUAUCCGAGUUUGAAAUCGGUCUCAUCGAGAUUUGGAAGCUGGUCUAGGUCAUCGUAUCGAUACCACCGAGAUUCUUAUAUCGGUCUCACCGAGAAUUCAGAAUUUGCCACAUUUAGUGCAACUCGGUACCGCCGAGAUUCAUUUCGGUGUCACCGAGUUGGCAAAUAAUGUUGUAACGGUUGGAUUUCGGGGGAUGCACUCAGAACACACUUACACUUGCCAGAUUUAUUUUUCUGAGAGAGAGCCACCUACUCAUGUGUUGAGAUCAAGAGAUUCCAUUCCAACCCUUUGAACUUUGAUUUGUAGCCUCCCCAAGUUGCUUUCCACAAGAUCAAUCUCUCCUACCCCUGCCAAAUCUGAGAGAGAGUGAUUGAGUGUUGAGGAGACUAUCUUUAGAAGCACAAGAGCAAGGAGUUCAUCGUUCUACCACAUAUAUUACCUUUUGGAGGGUGGUGCCUCCUAGAUUGGUUAGGUGUUGCUUGGGAGCCUCCUACUUCGUGUUGUGGAGUUGAACCAAGAUGUUUAUAAGGGCAAGGAGAUCGCUUACUUCGUGAAGAUCUAUCGUGAGUGAGGCUAGUCCUGUGUGGACGGAAGCUGUGAUGGAAUAGACAAGGCCGCUUCUUUGUGGACCCCUUCACUACUGGAAUUCACUUAUUUGUCGUCUGACAGAUCUGUGUCGUCUGCUGGCUGAUGGCAAAGAGUGUCUGUGCCAUCAGCUACCACAAAGUGGACGGCAAAGAACUGGCUGAGGGCAUAGAACUUCUUUGCCAUCUGUCACUUCUUUGCCGUUAGACGCACACGACAAAGAGCCGCACACCAGACGACAAAGCUACAGGUGGGGCUCGCCUGACUACGAAGACGUUAGGUCAAACUGGAAUCACUUCUUUGCCUUCAGCCGCAGACGGCAAAGAUCCGCACAGCACACGACACAGCUGCAGGUGGGGCCCACCUGACUGCGAGGGCGUUAGAUCGAACUGGGAUCUCUUCUUUGCCGUCAGCCAUGGACGGCAAAGAGCCGCCAGCAUACGGCAAAGAGCCGCCAGCAGACGGCAAAGAGCCAACGUCUCUAACGGCUCUUUGCCCCCACCCUCGCCCCUCUCACUCACGUCCCACACGCUUGACCGGCCCAUCUCUUCCACUCCUCUCCCCUGACGCCUACCGCCGCCACCACCAUCGCGGCCGCACCGACCCUGUUGCGUCGCCGCCCCACCGCCCCUGGCGCCGCCCCGGUGCCCCACAGUCCCGGCGCAGCCGCCCCUCCGCCCCCGGCGCCGCCCAACCGCCCCAACACCCCCGGCGCCCGACAGCCCCCAACGCCCUGGCGCCCCGACACGACCACGACGCCCCAGCCGCCCCGCCGGUGAGCCCCCCCCCCACGCAAUUUGCAUGGUUAGGUUAGUUUAUUAGGUUUAGGUUAGUUAGUUAGCUUGUUAAAUUAGUUAGGUUAGUUAGUUAUGUUAGUUAGUUAGUUAGCUUAAUAGAAAGAAGAGGAAGAAGAAGAAGAAGAGGAGGAGGAGGAGGAGAAGAGGAGAAGAGGAGGAGGAGGAGAAGAAAAAAAUAAGAAGGAGAAGAAGAAAAGAAGAAGACAAGAAGAGAAAAAGAGAAGAAGAAGAAGAGAAAAAGAGAAGAAGAAAAAAAAUAAGAAGGAGAAGAAGAGAAAAGGAAGAAAAUAAGAAUAAGUAGAAGAAGAGGAUAAAGAAAAAUUGAAAUACAAAUAAGAGGAAGAAGAAGAAGAGGAGGAAGAAGAGGAGAGGAGGAGGAGGAGAAGAAGAAGAAGAAGAGGAGAAGAGGAGAAGAAAUAGGAAAAAUGAAAAUAAGGAAGAAGAAGAGAAGAAGAAGGAGCAUGAGGAGAAGGAGCACUCCUUAUUCUUCUCCUUCUUCUCUCCUCCUGCCGGCAGAAGAAAGAAGAGAAGAAGAAGAAGANNNNNNNGAAGAAGAAGAAGAAGAAAAGGAAGAAAUGGAAGAAGAAGAAAAGGAAGAAGAGGAAAAAAAGAAUCGGCCAAAGUAGAAAAUGACACCCUCACACCCUGACACCCUGACACGAUGCCCCGACACCCCGACGCGAUGCCCCGACAUGACAUCCUGACACCCGAGCACAAAACUCCGUGCAACUGUUAAUAUGCCGUAUAUUUGUGUUAGGUCGUAUAUUUUUCGAUUUUAUUAAUGAACACAAAAUAUUUUUGUUGAUCGGGUGGAUUUACAUGUGACAGUUGUCUCUAUGGUGUGAGGUCUGCUGUGCGAAGACCUCCCUCUGCAUUCUACAAGCUCCGCCCCUGCAUUCGUGGGUCAGUACAAAUGUCAUCUCCUCCUCGCCCCUUCAUUUACUAUGGGUCGGUUUUCGGAUGACACUUGCUAGAUGUAGGUAAUUAAAUUAAUUUAUCAGUAUGCGUGACCAGUAUGCGUCUCCCAUUCGAAAGGGUUACAUUUAUAAAUAUGCAUGCAUUUGCUUAUAUUUAUAACCGUAAUUCUUUUGAAUUGUCCAACGUUAUCCAUGGACAGCCCGAGUAUGUGUAGAUUGGGUUCAUUUUCCCAUAUUCUUUGUUCCAAAUCCGAUGCAUAAUUUCAUCAGUGCCUCCCUGUUGUUCUCCGGAUACACAUCCUCUCUGUUUAUUGUGGAGACGUGUAUCAGGAGAACGGUGGGGAGGUGCUGCCGAAAUUUUGCGUUGGAUCCGGAGCAGAGCAUGGGAAAACGAACCCAAUCUACACAUACUCGGGUGGGAUUAGGACCUAUCUUUACCUAUUAGUGUGUAGGUUACAUGGACGUAAUAAAAAUGGCGAACUUGAUUAACUAAUGAAUAUAUAUGCUAAAUUAUAUAUAAAUUUAUUUCUUGUGUGUUUAGUAGCUAGGCAAGAUGAGUGAUCGUGCGUGGAUGUACACCGGUCACCCUAGUCAGAAAGAGAUGACGAAAGAAUGGUUUCUAAAAACCAAGGAAUUUGUGAAAGCCGCAUUUGGAAAUGGCCAGGAAAGAAACUAUUGCCCUUGUCCUCGAUGCGACAACUAUAAAAGGCGACAAAGGCUGUAAUGAUUAAACACCUGCAGAGGAGGGGUUUUAAGCCUAAUUAUACGGUGUGGACAUUUCAUGGUGAGUCUAUACAACGCACCAGAGCUGAGGUGGUUCAUCGUUGUAAUGUCCCAAGAGUGUAUCUUUCCCUUUUUCUAACCUUCUCCAUGUGGGUUCAACUUGCCUUUGAUAUGAGGUUAUGCAAUGUGAUAUUUCAUGUGAUGCUUCCCUUGUUUUAUUCUUAUUUGCAUGCAUGCAUCCAUGCCAUCCCAUUCAUCAUUGCCUUUGUAUUGUUGUUCUUGUGUUCCAUGAGUUGUCAUGUGAUGAUGGUGUGUGUGGUAAGUGGUCUUGAGGAGUGGUGCAAUGGUAGUAGGAAGCUAUGUGAUUGCCCUAGGUUUUUAAAACCUUCCCUCUCUCUUUUAUACCAAGGUCAAGUUUCACCUGUUCCUUCUCUAUUUCAAAAAUGUCCUUGUGUUAGCAUUGUUUUGUGGUGGAUUUGAGAUGUGGUUUUGAUGUUUUGAAUAGGUGUGCAAAUGGUGCAAAUAGUUACAAAACAUAUCCAAUAUUUUUGUUUUGUAAAUAUUUAGUUGCUCCAAAUAUUCAUUUUAUAGUUUAUUCAAAUAGGUCAUAAUUUAUCAUGACCAGGGGCAUUUUUUGUUUUGUUUUUAACCCCAACAGUUUUGCCUGGAUUUCUUUUUCUUUCUCUGUUUAUUUUUAUAUUGGAAGACCCCCAGGGUUUUAAUUUCUAUCUAUAUGGCGCCACAAGUGGGCAUCCUCCCCCCUGUGCGGCCCAUUUCUCCUUGGUGCCACCCCGCCUAGAGCCCACCUGCGCGUCCCUCUCCUUCUUCCUGACGCCGUCUACCCCCUGUACCUGCUUUCCGUCUUGCUUCAGAGAGAGAGAGCGAGUCGCCGUGAGGGGCUCACGGACGUCGAGGUCUCCCAUAAAGCAUUGGCGUGCGUGCUUUCAUCCCUAGGGUUCCUCCUUUCCCCAUCUACCACCGCCACUCCUUCUCCCUUCUCUCUUUCUUACCCCAAGGUAAAAUCUGUAGCUUCUAGCAGAGAGAGAGGGCAGUGUCCCGCCGUCGUCUACCCCACUUCAAUCCCCUCCGCGCCGGCUGCCAUGUCCAGGGGCUCGGGGCUGCACCCCGCGCUCCAUUCCCGUCCUCGGUGAGGCCGGGGAGCGACCUCACCGACGAGCCGAACCUUGUCUACGGCGUGCACCCGGUGUUUUCUUCCCCUGCGUCGGCUGCAGCAGGCCAUCGUCUUCAGUACAACUACUUCCUCUCCAGCCUGCCUCCUCCUCCGAUCGGCACCCCUCCUCCUUCCCUAGGUGAGCUAGAGGUUCUUCCUCCCUCCUUCUCCAUGGUAGAUGCGUCGAGGGCUCGUCGCCGUGCCUCUGUUCCGAGGGACUUCGGCUGAUGUGAGCAGGUCUGUGUGUGUGUUCAAUGUUGUGUGUUCUUGGCAGUUGCAGGGCUCGGUAGAUGUAGAGUAGAGCAGAGGCGUUCCCUCGUAGUAGCAGCACAGUAGCCUUAGUGGUUACCCCCUCGCCGUAGCAGAUGAAGUAGAGGAGACCAGCCCCGACGACCUCUCUGUUGUUGCCGGCCUCUCUAUGCAUAGGACAGCAGAGCACGUUGUCGUGGUAGAAUACCUGGUAGAGUUACUCCUCUCUGUCAGAUCCCGAAGUGUAGCGUAGUGGCGUAGUGUGUGUGAUGUUACUUAGGUGGUUGCGGGUUCGAGUCCCAGAGGAGCAACCCCCCUUUUUAUUUCUUACUUCGGCACAGUAGCCUCGCAGGAGCAGAGACAACAUAGUUUGGUGGCACCCCCUUGUUCUGUCAAGCAUCAGGCAUCUAGCAGGGCCGUGUGUUGCAGUGUUGAGAACCAGGGGGUUCAGGGUUCGACCCCCCCCAAACCUUUUAUAUUUUUGUUUCUUUCUUUGCUGUUUUGCAUUGUAAGGCUUGCAUAGAUGUUGUGGGGUGUUAUAUCCUCAUGUGGGUUUAUUUUUGCUUGCCUCCAACAACAUGUGAUGUGUGUGAUGUUAUUUUUGCUAGCAAGUAGUGUAUGCAUGUGUAGGUUAUGUGGUGUAUGUAUGUUUAAGUUUAUGUGGUGUGUGUGCACCUUGGAAUGCAUGUGUAGAUAUAUAUAUGCUUAGGAAUGCAUGUAUAGGGUUGGGUGCAUGUGAGUCUAUGUUUGCUAGAUCAUAUGUGUAGGUGGUGUAUCCAUGUUGUGCAAGUGAUAUCAGGUGUGGGUGCUUUCCCAUGUGCAUGUGAUAUGUGAUGUAUGUGAGUGUGUGAGUGCUUAUGUGUGUGUGUCUCACACAUGCCAUGGAAUGGUGUGCCAUGAUAAGCACAUGAGUUGUAUGCGUAGGCAUAGGAUGCAUUUGUGAGCAUUAGCUAGUGGGUGUUCUUUUUAUCAUGUGUAGGUGCUCUCUUGCUAGUGCUUGAUGUGUGUGGUGUGUGGUGUGUGCUAAGGCACAUGAGCAUGAGGUCUACCCCUCAUGUGCACCUAUGUAAUGUUGUAAGAGUGCAAGUGCUUGUGUAGUGUAGUUCUAGUGAAUAGCACAUGUGAUGAUGCACUAUUCACUAUAUGUGAUUCCAUGUAGGUUUCCUUUUCUAGUUUGUUGAGAAUCUGCUUAUAUUUUCUUCUCCUGUUGUUGAGCUUGUGGAGGUCCAGGUGUUGUGAUUCAGCCUUAGCUUUCAACUAGGAAGUUGUAGAUUUUGUGUUUGUCUAGCUCUGUGUAAAUUUUCAUUCCAUUUGGAGUCCUAUAGAUAUUGUUUUGGGUGCUGUCAAAAUGCUUCAGAGCAUAAACAACUAGUGAGAAUCUAGAAUUUUUACUAAGUCCAUGAAAACUGAUAUUUUUGGCCAAGUUAGCAGCUGUGUAACUUUCUGUGUGAAACUCCGUUGUGUGAUCUGUAGUACUCUUGGAUAGCUUCUGCCACAUAUCUUAUUUGGCAUAUUUGGGUGGCUGUAGGUGACUUGCAUGUAGAUCUCAAAAGGCUAUGAUGUUGUUUAAGGCAGAUUGUAUAGUGUUGAUAUUUUGAUGUUUGUGAGUGCAUAGAUGAUGGUGUGGUGAUAUUCCUUGCACCACCCCAUCCAUUUUGGUUUGAUUUAUGUCUUGGAAACGUGGAAAUACCAGAGUUAUGCCAUUGGGGUGUGUGGUGAUGUAUUUGGCACGUAACACUUCAUUUCUUGUUUCGUUGUUUCCUGUUGAUCCGUAGCUCCGUUUGUAAUGUUCUUUGUAUGCUUUUGCAUCGUUUUCGCGUGACGCAUCUGUUCAUAUCAUACUGAUGCAUGUCAAGAUAGCUUAGAGUGCAGUUCUGUCCAGGAACUUGUAUUUACUUCUCAUGCUUGUGCUAGUGAGUAGAAUAGAGAUGCAUGUUGAUAUUCUUCUCAUGCAUCAUGUGCUUGUUGCAUCUUGAGGUGCUGUUGUUCAUUGGAUGCUAUUUUUAUGUUGGGUAGCACUGGGAUCGGAGAACGAGUACGUGGAUCCGUGAGAGGAUGUGCACGACGAACAAGAGGAGUUCCAAGCUGAGGAUAUCACGGGCAAGAUGCUAUGACAUUGAUUCCAUCUCUAGAUUUGUUUUGCUAGAUUACGUUUCUUCUGUCAUAUGGUUGCUGCCUACCACCGAAAUAAUUGCCUCGUGAAUUUCCAUGGAACCCAAAAACUUAUCCCUUCCUAGCAAAUCUUGAAUUUCUAAGUAGGAUUUGCUGAGCUACUAAUGUUAGCGUUGCUAGUUGCAGGUGCUUUAUCUCAUGUGAUAACAUGAACUUGAUAUUAUCAUGUUAAAUCUGUUAUUUAAUUAAUGCACCUAUAUACUUGGUAAAUAACAGAAGGCCUAGCCUUUUGCCGGGUGUUUUUGUUCCGUUAUUGCCGCCAUAGUUACCGGCUACCGAUGUUUGGUUCCAUAAUGAUCGCUCCUAACACGUUCGGGGUUGUUACGGGGACCCCACGAUAAAUCGCGUAGUGUUAAGACUUGUCCGGCAGGACCCAACCUUGGUGUUAAUUUGCUAAUCACUUAAUAAUAAUUUGCAUAGGGAAUGGCCUCCCCGAGGAAUUUAAUCAAUAACCCGGGCGAGUGCUUCUCAUGAGUGUUGGUCCAAACUAGACAGACUACGGGGGCCACCACAGGGAAACUUGAGGUUUGGCUCGUGUAGGAUUUUCCAUCCGUCGUGUCCUGAGACUGAGAUACCGGCUCUUAUCGGGGUCGUCGACAUGACGGGAGGUCCUGCUAGAGUUGUCUUACCUUAGCGAUAUAUCUUGCAUAUAGGAAUCCCGGUGAAUCUUUGGUUCUCCCCAGAGUUGAGGUUUUCCUCUAAGGAAUCCGACGAGAUCACGAGAUUCGUGAUAGAGGAUUACUUUGUGGCCCGUGUACGUUUGUGAUGGACUAGUUGGAGCACCCUGCAGGGUUUAAUCUUUCGGAAAGCUGUGCCCGUGGUUAUGUGGCAACUUGGAAUAUUUGUUAACAUCCGGUAAUAGACAACUUAAACAUAACUCUAUUAAAAUUGCCAACUGUGUGCGUAACCGUGACUGUCCCCUUCGAAGAUAUUUCUUCGAUCGGGAACACGGUGGGGUUAUGGUUGACGUAAGUAGGUGUUCAGGAUCACUUAGUGAUCAGUUAAACGUCGACCAUAUAAGCUUAGGAUGCUGCAACCUAAAUACUCCACCUUUCCAACCUAAUAACUUGACUAGUUCAGACACCGAGGUCAUAGAUUGUUGAGUCCCCGUGGCUCACAGUUUCAUUCACAACACCAACAGGUUUAGGUACCUCCGAGACAGGUGAUCCCGACGGCACGCAACUGGCGUGGCAGUAUGAUGAGGAGAACGACCGCCUGUAUGUGAACUAUCCUGAAGACUGAGGCGUGGUCGUGAUCAUGGGCAAGCAUGCAUGGUAGCAUAGUCAUUUCUCAUGUUUUUUACUCCGUAGCGGAACUACCUUGUUUGGAUGUGUGAUGUAACUCUGAUAUAUUUAUGAGAUGGCAGUUGAAUCCCUUAUUGUCAUUCUUCUAUUAUUAUGUAUGUGCUAUGUUACCGUGCUUGCGAAAUGCUUAGAUGUGCUUCUUUCCAAUUCAGGGCCUCGUUCCCCAAAUGAGAAAGUACCGUAUCUUAGUCAUCACAAGUUGGUAAUCCGAGCCUUGCGACCAUAGGAGCCUUUGUGUGAUCGUGUCGAGUCUAGUAAAAUGUUUUGAGUCUUAGUUAUAUCGGAGAGUAGGAUUCUUUUUUCUCCUCUUCCAUGCUCUGGUGAGGUUCCCGACUUAGGAAAUCUUAAUUCUACUCCUCUUCUCGCUCAAAUUAUUUUUAGGAUCACGCGGGUAUUUGUGAAAUCUAUAUGAUUUCAAUGUGCGGAGUUCUGUCUUGGUGCGUCCUGUCUGCCUUGAUUUCUUCCGGGGAGUUGAGCUCCAGGGGAUUCUUGCGCACAUCGCCAUCAUUCAGAUUUCUGAGUAUCUAAGAAGGAAGGAUGUUCGUAAUUGCUUCAAUACUAGUAGUGGCGAGAUAACCCCGAUGUCCCCAGCACUGGUGCAGAUUGUACGGGAGUACUGCCAUACUUUGUAUCGUUGUGAUCACGAGGGUCUGUUGUAGAUGAAGGUCCGAGAUUCUAGUUGUGUGUUGAUGGAUGUGAUACAUGUGACGGGUUAGUAUAGAAGUUGUGUGAUAUUACUCCUUGUAUCGGUGUACCAGAUUGCAUGACCAGAUAUUUCGGGAAUUCAUAAGUGGGAUAUCAGGUAGUAACUUAUAGGACAAUCUUCCUACAGAUGCAUGAUGUGAGGUUGGGAUUCGAUGUUCAGUGGGUAUGUUUGUUCACGAUCGUCUUACAGCGGUUCUCGUUGUGUCUUAAGGAGUCCUUGUAGCUCGCUACGACUCGGGGAUACUUCAUAAGUCAUGUGCACUACCUUGCACAGGAUAGCUACUGUAAAUUCGAGCCCGUGCGAUCUUAUCCACGAAGAUAUCGGAUGAAAUCUCAAUCAUAUGUUUGUUUCGAGCAGUUCUAGCUCAUACUUGUUUGCAAGUGGUCUUAAUCAGAAUUUUGUCGACCAUCACUUUGAGGAAGCAUUCUUACUAUUUUGUUCGAGUGCAAUUGCUAUAUUCCUGUUCAGAUAUUCCUGUCAUUUUGAUUCAGCUAUAUCUUCAAUUUAUUCUGUGGGCUAAUGUGUUGUCCGUCUUCAGGAUGGCUCCACCAACUCGUUAGAAUCCAGGGCGUGAGGAUGUGCCGCCACCACCUCCUCCUCCGGAGAAUCCUCCUCCUCCGCCGCCUCCUCCUGCAGAGGCUUGACAAGCGGUGAUGGCUACUACAAAUGCAAACACUCAGAUGCUGCUACAGUUGUUGCAAGAGAGGGCUAAUCAGCAGCAAGGCAAUUUCCAGCAUGGUGGCAAUUAGUUUGCUAAUCUGAGUCAGUUCCUGUUGAAUCAGCCGAAGACUUUCACUUCCUGUGACCAGCCGUUUGAUGCUGAGGAUUGGAUCCGCGACAUGAACAAGCAUUUUGAGUGCAGGAAUGUUCGUCCUGAGGAUUUCGUUAAGUUUGCUACAUUCCAGCUGAAGGGGCAAGCAUCUAUCUGGUGGCAACAGUUGAAGGAUUCCAGAGGCGCUAGAGUGAUCACAUGGGAUGAGUUCUGCCAUGAAUUCAGGUCCCACUACAUUCCUUCCAGCUUCGUGGAGGAAAUGCGUGUGAAGUUCAGGCGCUUGAAGCAGGGUGGUAACUCCGUGUACAAGUACAACGUUGAGUCCCACGAGCUAGCCCGAUACGCCUUGCAGGAUAUCCCUAAUCAGAAGAGCAAGAUUUAUCAGUUCAAAGGUGGCUUGAAAGAAGAUUUGCAGUUGGCUCUCGCUUUGCACGAUCCUGAGGAGUUCGACAAGUUCUAGAACUUAGCUCUCAGGGCAGAGGCAGUCUUGCUCAGGGUGGAGAAUUCUAAGAAGCGCUUCAGAGAUUCCAGCUCUUCCUCUACUCAGGUGGUUCGGAAGCAACAAAAGUUUUGGGUGUCUCCUCCUCCUCCUCGGCACACACAUCAGCUCAAGUAUUCUGGUGGCCGUGGUUCUUCCCACCCUCCCAACCCUGUCUUUCAGCAAAGAUUCCAGCAUCAUAAGCAAGGGCCUCCUUAGACACAGUACCGUCAGCCAGCAGAGGUUACUUGUCACAAGUGUGGGCAGAAGGGUCAUUAUGCCAACAAGUGCAUGUCUCAGCUCCGUCCGCCUCCUCCUCCUCCAGGCAAACCUCCGAGCAAUGCUCUUGUCAAGUCAACCCCAGAUCAGCUCGAGUCAACAUGGUGAAUGCAGCCGAGGCAGAAAAGUCGUCAGAUGUGAUCAUGGGUAACCUCCUCGUUAAUAAUAUUCCUGCUAAAGUGUUAUUUGAUUCUGGUGCUUCGCAUUGCUUCGUGUCAUAUCCAUUUGCAUCCAAGCAUAGUGUGCGUCAGGAGCAGUUGUCUAAGCCAUUGGCAGUCGUUUCUCCUGCAAAGCAUUUGAGUUCUAGUUUGUUCGUUCCGGGUGUUUCUGUCAAGAUGGGUAGCUAUUCUUUUUUUGCAUCUCCUAUUGUCUUGGGAAAUUCCAACAUUGAUUUGAUCCUUGGUAUGAACUGGUUGGCCAUGAACAAGGCAUCGAUUGAUUUUGAAGCUAAAGAAGUGAAUCUUACUCACUCUUCGGAGGACGUGAUUAUAUUCACGGUGCGCGAUGAUACAAUCCGUCUGUUCUCUUUGAAUGAAAAGGGUGAGAUUAAUCCUAUUUCGCAAGUCCCAGUGGUGUGCGAAUAUGAAGAUGUGUUUCCAGAAGAGCUGCCAGGCAUGCCUCCGCACCAAGAAGUUGAAUUUGUCAUUGAGCUUGAAACAGGUACUGAGCCUGUGUGCAAACGGCCAUACAAAUUGGGUCCAGAAGAGUUGAAGGAACUUAAGAGGCAACUCGAUGAGCAGGAGAGUUUGGGCCUGAUCAGACCGAGGUCGUCUCCGUGGGGCUGCGGAGUUCUGUUUGUCAAGAAGAAGGAUGGCACAGACCGGUUGUGUGUCGAUUAUCGUCCAUUGAACAAGAAGACAAUCAUGAACAAAUAUCCACUUCCGAACAUAGCUGAGUUGUUCGAACAGUUGAAAGGUGCUAAGAUCUUCUCCAAGCUCGAUCUUAGAAUGGGCUAUCAUCAAAUUCGCAUUUGCGAAGAAGAUAUUCCGAAGACUGCCUUCAGGACUAGUUUUGGCUCGUAUGAGUAUACAGUCAUGUCUUUUGGUCUGGCAAAUGCUCCUCCGACAUUUUGUCGAUUGAUGAACUACAUAUUCUCCCGGUUCAAGAAUGACUUUGUCUUGCUCUAUCUCGAUGACAUUCUGGACUUUUCUGAAACUGAGGAAGAACAUGAAGAACAUCUCAGAUUGGUGCUUGAUAAGCUGAGGGAGUACAAAUUGUAUGCCAAGUUUUCCAAGUGUGAGUUCUGGUUGAAAUAAGUCAUCUAUCUUGGUCACAUUAUCUCUGCCGAGGGCAUAAAAGUUGAUCCGUCCAAGGUGCAUGCCAUUGUUGAAUGGGAGCCUCCGCAGAAUGUGAAGCAGCUUCGAAGCUUUCUCGGGCUUGCAAGCUAUUGCAGAAGGUUCGUUGAGAACUUCUCCAAGAUUGCUAAACCGCUCUCAAGUCUUCUUCAGAAAGGUGUGAAAUAUGCUUGGUCUCCAGAGUGUCAGUUGGCCUUCGACACACUAAAAGAGAAGCUCACCUCCACUCCAAUCUUGGUUCCUCCGGAUGAUUCCAAGCCUUACCACGUGUUCUGCGAUGCUUCUCUCCAGGGUCUUGGUGGAGUUCUGAUGCAAGAGAAUAAAGUGGUUGCUUAUACCUCCAGGCAGUUGAAAAGAAUUACCCUGUGCAUGAUCUUGAGCUAGCAGCUGUGGUACACGCUUUGUUGACUUGGAGACACCUCUUGUUGGAACAAAAGGUUGAAGUGUUCACCGAUCACAAGAGUCUCAAGUACAUCUUCACUCAGCCUAACCUGAAUCUCUGGCAAACACGUUGGGUGGAAAUGCUCCAAGAUUUUAAUCCGAGUGUUGAGUACACGCCAUGCAAAGCUAAUGUCGUGGCAGAUGCCUUGAGCAGGAAGGCGUACUGCAACAAUCUCAUUCUGCAACCUCUCCAGCCUGAGCUAUGUGAGUCUUUCAGGAAGCUCAACCUUUAGUUAGUACCUCAGGGAUUUCUUGCAAACCUUCAGAUCUCUCCUACCUUGGAAGAUCAGGUUCGAGAAGCACAGCUUCUUGAUGCAAUGGUGAAGAAAGUCAAGAUUGGUGUGGCAAAGAGUUUUCCCAAAUAUAAGUUCUUCAGUGUUGAUGCCAGAGACACGUUGUUCUUUGAGGAUCGUCUUGUCGUUCCGAAAGGUGAUAUCAGAAAGGUAAUCAUGGAAGAAGCCCAUAACUCUCUGCUUUCUAUUCAUCCUGGAAGCUCCAAGAUGUAUCAGGACUUGAAACAGACCUUCUGGUGGACUCGCAUGAAGCGUGAGAUUGCUCAGUUCGUAAAUGAAUGUGAUGUAUGUCAAAGGGUGAAAGCAGAGCAUCAACAUCCAGCAGGUCUUUUGCAUCCAUUGCCCAUUCCCGAGUGGAAGUUCGAUCACAUUGAGAUGGAUUUCGUCACCGGGUUUCCGAAGUCCAAGAAGGGUAAUGAUGCCAUCUUCGUCGUCAUUGACAAGUUGAGUAAAGUGGCUCAUUUUCUUCCAGUCAAGGAAUCCAUUUCGGCAGCUCAGCUUACAGAGUUGUACACUUCCAGGAUUGUGUCCUUGCAUGGCGUGCCUAUGAUGAUUUCUUCAGAUCGCGGAAAUAUCUUCACUUCCAAGUUCUGGGACUCUUUUUAGUCUGCAAUGGGCACGAAGAUCCGCUUCAGCACAACUUUUCAUCCUGAGACUAGUGGUCAAGUGGAGCGAGUCAAUCAAGUUCUUGAGGAUAUGCUGAGAGCCUGUGUUAUCUCUUUUGGCAUGAAGUGGGAGGAUUGUGUGCCUUUCGCGGAGUUCUCGUAUAACAACAGUUAUCAAGCUAGUUCUGGCAAAGCUCCAUUUGAAAUUUUCUAUGGCAGGAAGUGUCGUACCCCGCUCAAACGGUCCGAGACCGACGAGCGUCAGAUCCUUGGGAAUGACCUGAUAGAAGAAGCUGAGGAGAUGUGUCGGGUCAUUCGUGAUAACCUCAGAGCAGCUCAGUCCCGUCAGAAGAGCUAUUAUCAUAGCAAGCAUCGUGACAUGUCUUAUGAGCUUGAUGACUUCGUCUAUCUCAAGGUGUCGCCUAUGAAGGGUACGCAACACUUUGGCAUCAAAGACAAGCUUGCGCCUCGUUUCGUUGGUCCGUUCAGAGUUGUUGGCAAGAGAGGCGACCUUGUGCACCAGCUCGAGCUCCCGUCAAACUUUGCAAUUGUGCAUGAUGUGUUCCAUGUUUCUCAGCUCCGGAGGUGUUUCAAGACCCCAGAGCGCACUGUUCAUCUUCAAGUCAUCGACCUUCAGCCUCACCUUUCUUAUCGUGAGCAUCCAGUUGCGGUUCUCGAGGCGACUGAGCGCGAGACUUGCAACAAGACUGUCAAAUUUCUCAAAGUGCAGUGUUCACACCAUUCCGAUAAAGAGGCAACUUGGGAACGCGAGGAUCACCUCCGUUCUGAAUUUCCGGAGUUCUUUCAGGCAUAGAUCUCGGGGCAAGAUCUUUUUGUAGUGUGGGAGAGUUUGUAAUGCCCCAAGAGUGUAUCUUUCCCUUUUUGGAACCUUCUCCUUGUGGGUCCAACUUAUCUUUGACAUGAGGUUAUGCAAUGUGAUAUUUCAUGUGAUGCUUCCCUUGUUUUAUUCUCAUUUGCAUGCAUGCAUCCAUGCCAUCCCAUUCAUCAUUGCUUUUGUAUUGUUGUUCUUGUGUUCCAUGAGUUGUCAUGUGAUGAUGGUGUGUGUGGUAAGUGGUCUUGAGGAGUAGUGCAAUGGUAGUAGGAAGCUAUGUGAUUGCCCUAGGUUUUUAAAACCUUCCCUCUCUCUUUUAUACCAAGGUCAAGUUUCACCUGUUCCUUCUCUAUUUCAAAAAUGUCCUUGUGUUAGCAUUGUUUUGUGGUGGAUUUGAGAUGUGGUUUUGAUGUUUUGAAUAGGUGUGCAAAUGGUGCAAAUAGUUACAAAACAGAUCCAAUAUUUCUGUUUUGUAAAUAUUUAGUUGCUCCAAAUAUUCAUUUUAUAAUUUAUUCAAAUAGGUCAUAAUUUAUCAUGACUAGGGGCAUUUUUUGCUUUGUUUUUAACCCCAAUAGUUUUGCCUGGCUUUCUUUUUCUUUCUCUAUUUAUUUUUAUAUUGGAAAACCCCCAGGGUUUUAAUUUCUAUCUAUAUGGUGCCACAGGUGGGCUUCCUCCCCCCUGUGCGGCCCAUUUCUCCUCGGUGCCACCCCGCCUAGAGCCCACCUGCGCGUCCCUCUCCUUCUUCCUGACGGCGUCUACCCCCCGUGCCUGCUUUCCGUCUUGCUUCAGAGAGAGAGCGAGUCGCCGUGAGGGGCUCACGGACGUCGAGGUCCCCCAUAAAGCAUUGGCGUGCGUGCUUUCAUCCCUAGGGUUCCUCCUUUCCCCAUCUACCACCGCCACUCCUUCUCCCUUCUCUCUUUCUUCCCCCAAGGCAAAAUCUGUAGCUUCUAGCAGAGAGAGAGGGCAGUGUCCCGCCGUCGUCUACCCCGCUUCCAUCGCCUCCGCGCCGGCUGCCAUGUCCAGGGGCUCGGGGCUGCACCCCGCGCUCCAUUUCUGUCCCCGGUGAGGCCGGGGAGCGACCUCACCGACGGGCCGAACCUUGUCUACGGCGUGUACCCGGUGUCUUCUUCCUGUGGGUCGGCUGCAACAGGCCAUCGUCUUCAGUACAACUACUUCCUCUCGAGCCUGCCUCCUCCUCCGAUUGGCGCCCCUCCUCCUUCCCUAGGCGAGCUAGAGGUUCUUCCUCCCUUCUUCUCCGUGGUAGAUGCGCCGAGUGCUCGUCGCCGUUCCUCUGUUCCGAGGGACUUCGGCUGAUGUGAGCAGGUCUGUGUGUGUGUUCUGUGUUGUGUGUUCUUGGCAGUUGCAGGGCUCGGUAGAUGCAGAGUAGAACAGAGGUGUUCCCUCGUAGUAGCAGCACAGUAGCAGAUGCAGUAGAGGAGACCAUCCCCGGUGACCUCUCUGUUGUCGCCGGCCUCUAUGUGCAUAGCAGAGCAGAGCACGGUGUCAUGGUAGAAUACCUGGUAGAGGUACUCCUCUCUGUCAGAUCCCGAAGUGUAGCGUAGUGGCGUAGUGCGUGUGAUGUUACUUAGGUGGUUGCGGGUUCGAGUCCCAGAGGAGCAACCCCCCUUUUUAUUUCUUACUUCGACACAGUAGCCUCACAGCAGCAGAGACAACAUAGUUUGGUGGCACCCCCUGUUCUGUCAAGCAUCAGGCAUCUAGCAGGGUGGUGUGUUGCAGUGUUGUAAACCAGGGGGUUCAGGGUUCGACCCCCCCCNAUGUGUAGAUAUAUAUAUAUAUGUGCUUAGGAAUGCAUGUAUAGGGUUGGGUGCAUGUGAGACUAUGUUUGCUAGAUCAUAUGUGUAGGUGGUGUAUCCAUGUUGUGCAAGUGAUAUUAGGUGUGGGUGUUUUCCCAUGUGCAUGUGAUAUGUGAUGUAUUUGAGUGUGUGAGUGCUUAUGUGUGUGUGUCUCACACAUGCCAUGGCAUGAUGUUCCAUGAUAAGCACAUGAGUUGUAUGUGUAGGCAUAGGAUGCAUUUGUAAGCAUAAGCUAGUGGGUGUUCUUUUUAUCAUGUGUAGGUGCUCUCUUGCUAGUACUUGAUGUGUGUGGUGUGUGGUGGUGUGCUAAGGAACAUGAGCAUGAGGUCUACCCAUCAUGUGCACCUAUGUAAUGUUGUAAGAGUGCAAGUGCUUGUGUAGGUGUAGUUCUAGUGAAUAGCACAUGUGAUGAUGCACUAUUCACUAUAUGUGAUUCCAUGUAGGUUUCCUUUUCUAGUUUGUGCCCUUUUGUUCUAUGCAAGUACAUAGGUUUUAUAUAUUUUUUGGGGUAGAAUCAUCCCAGGAAUCCAUUGGUGAAGUCAGUUUUGCCUUUGGAACACUUCCUGGAGAUGACUUAUUUCAGAUUUUUUCUAUGUUUAGAGCUUGGUUCCAUGAGAUGUGGUGAGAACAAGAGUUUGAUUCUUGGUUGUGGCAGUAGAGGGUGACCCCCUCUACCACAUGUUGCUUUUGUUUCAUGCUUAGGAACCCAUAUGUGCAAGUGGUGCUUAGUCAAAGUAGGCAUGUGGCUGAAAUUCCAGUUUAGUGAAAAUCACAGAUUUUCACUAAGUCUGAGAAUCUGAUUAUAUUUUCUUCUCGUGUUGUUGAGCUUGUGGAGGUCCUGGUGUUGUGAUUCAGCCCUAGCUUUCAACUGGGAAGUUGUAGCUUUUGUGUUUGUAUAGCUCUAUGUAAUUUUUCAUUCCAUUUGGAGUCCUGUAGAUAUUGUUUUGGGUGCUGUCAAAAUUCUUCAGAGCAUAAACAGCUAGUGAGAAUCUGGAAUUUUCACUAAGUCCGUGAAAACUGAUAUUUUUGGUCAAGUUAGCAGUUGUGUAACUUUCUGUGUGAAACUCCGUUGUGUGAUCUUUUUGCUUGUGCUUGUAGUACUCUUGGAUAGCGUGUUCCACGUAUCUUAUUUGGCAUAUUUGGGUGGCUGUAGGUGACUUGCAUUAAGCUCUCAAAAGGCUACGCUGCUGUUUAUGGCAGAUUGUAUAGUUUUGAUGUUUUGAUGCUUGUGAGUGUAUAGAUGAUGGUGUGGUGAUAUUCCUUGCACCACCCCAUCCAUGUUGGUUUGUUUUAUGUCUUGGCAACCUGGAAAUACCAGAGUUAUGCCAUUGGGGUGUGUGGUGAUGUAUUUGGCACGUAGCACUUCAUUUCUUAUUUUGUUGUUUCCCGUUGAUCCGUAGGUCCGUUUGUAAUGUUCUUUAUAUGGUUUUGCAUCAUUUUCGCGUGAUGGAUCUGUUCAUAUUAUCCUCAUGCAUGUCAAGAUAGCUUAGAGUGCAGUUCUGUCCAGGAACUUGUAUUUACUUCUCAUGCUUGUGCUAGUGAGUAGAAUAGAGAUGCAUGUUCAUAUUCAUCUCAUGCAUCAUGUGCUUGUUGCAUCUUGAGGUGCUGUUGUUCAUUGGAUGCUAUUUUUAUGUUGGGUAGCACCAGGAUCGGAGAACGAGUACGUGGAUCCAGGAGGGUACGUGCACGAGAACAAGAGCAGUUCCAAGCUGAGGAUAUCACGGGCAAGAUGAUAUGACCUUGAUUCUAUCUCUAGACUUGUUAUGCUAGAUUACGUUUCUUCCGUCAUAUGCUCGGUGCCUAGUACUGAAAUAAUUGCCUCCGGAAUUGCCAUGAAACCCGAACACUUAUUCCUUCCUAGCAAAUCUUCAAUGGCUAAGUAUGCUUUGCUUAGCUACUAAUGUUAGCGUUGCUAGUUGCAGGUGCUUUAUCUCAUGUGAUAACAUGAUCUUGAUAUCAUUAUGUUAAAUCUGUUAUUUAAUUAAUGCACCUAUAUACUUGGUAAAUAACGGAAGGCCUAGCCUUUUGCCGGGUGUUUUUGUUCCGUUAUUGCCGCCAAAGUUACCGGCUACCGGUGUUUGGUUCUGAAAGUGUGUUAUAUGGACUAGAGGGGGGUGAAUAGGAGAUUCUUAGAAUCUCAUCACUCAGGAAAUUCCUUUUGAGGAAAUUCCUCACUGAUGACUAACUUACAGCGGGAAUAACAAAGGAUCAGAAGUGCAAAGUAUCACUACAGCAGUUUUCAAGGUGAAGAAUACGAAAAACAGUUUACACAGUAUGCAGGCACGGAGAAAACAGAUUAGGAUUAACUCGCAUGAAGAUUUUGGGGUUGAGGAAUUCCAGAGAAAGUCUUCAGCAAAUUCUUCAAACAGUGACAGUGAAAAUCAUCAACAUACAAUCUGAGGAAUGUAAGGAGUUGAAGAAAUAGAACCUGUUUCACAGUGAAGACAGUGGUUGAUGACCCAGUUCCAAUUGCUGUGACAGUUGUACAUCUGGUUUGGAGCGGCUUGGUAUUGAAACCAAAGGACACAGAGUCCCAGGACACACAGUCCCUACCAUAUUCUCCUUGGGCUAAGAACACACAGUCCUCGCCCAACACUCGUGGUAAGUCGUCAGGGCAGACUUCCAAACCCUCACAAACUUGGUCACCUGGCGAUCCACAAUUGACUGCUGGAUUGCUCUAGACCAUGACGCCUAACCGUCUGGAGGAUGCACAGUCCUCAAAGGUAAAAGGCUUCAGUCCCACACAGGAACAACUUCUUCAGUGAUGCUCAAUCACUUGGUUUUUGGUUUGUGGUUUGGUGUUUGGGGUAUUUCCUCACUGAUGAAUUACUUUUGAUGACUCAGAGGAAUUUGGGUUGCUCUUAUGACAAGUGUCAGUUUCUAACGGAGCAGCCAACCAGCUAAUGGUUGUGGGGGCGGCUAUUUAUACCGUGGGAGCAUCCCAACAUGAUUUGACAUUAAUGCCCUUAAAUAAUAUGACCGUUGGUGUGGAUAAGACCAAUGAUGUGGCGUGACUAUCGGUAACGGUCGGGACCCUCAACUGUGAGAGUCCUCUUGUCUCUCAUAUUCCCCACUUGAGGCUUUUGGUAGGAUUAGGCUUGGGUUGAGCAUCAUGAGGAAAUUCAUUCCAAUGUGUUACCUCGACCCCCUUUAACAGUACGGUGUUCCUAUUACUCAAGUGUGAAGAAAAUAAAACAAAAAGGAUAAAUCUUCAUGCUUCAAAGUCUUGAGAUUGAUUUUCUUCAGGACACACCGAUUUCCUCAAUUUCAAUAUUUUCAUGUGGAAUAUCAAUUUCAUCGCAAAUUCUUCGUGAUUCAAUUCUUCAGCUUCAGACCAAUUUCUUCAACCGAAGAUAUACAUUUUUAGGGGUCGAUAUUCAUCGAAUAUUUCAAACUCCUCAGUGACUUAUAUAUCCUGUGUACACUCGUGAACACAUUAGAUACUUAAUCUAUAAGUAUUCAAACCACCAAAAUCACUAAGGGGCACUAGAUGCACUUACAAUCUCCCCCUUUUGGGUGGUUGAUGACAAUUAGGUUAAGUCUUCAACAGGGAUAAAAAUAUGAAUUGUAAAUACUCAUUUGAGGAAUUUGAAAUCAAGAUUCAGAGAGACUCCCCCUGAAGAUGUGCAUAUCUUGAGGAUUUUGCUUUUCACAGCAAAUGCACAUUGAUGAUUUAUAUCAUGGAGAUCCCCCCUGAGUCUUGUAAAUCAUGCAUACAUACGACAUAUAGUAUGAAGAAACUGAGGAUGCAUGAUGACAAAUGGUAUCUGACGAAUUCCAGCAUGCGUGCAUUAAAAUUUUGAGGAAUAAGCAUGCGAAGAAAAACGUUCAAAAGCGUCAGAGUACCAUCGGGCUUAAGUUACAACUCAUUACAUAAAACACUUCAGAAGUGCCAAGAGUUUGUAACUUAAAUAAAGUUUAUAAGCCCCCAAAAUAUCCCGCGUGAAGACUAACUCUCAAGUUUCUCCCCCUUUGUCAUCAAGUGACAAAAAGGGACAAACUGAGGACUAACGCCCGUGAAGACUUUCACUUCUUUGCAGUUGAGGAAGACGCGUGAGGAUUCUUGGGAGCAGAUUUCCUCCUUGGACCAAUGGCAGUAUCUUGUUGAUCUUCAUCUGGUUCAGUAGUGCGGAAUGAAGAAAACGAACUGUCCUCAAGACCUGGAACUGGGAUUGGCCUGAAUUUCUUCUUUGGUGGCCACGACCAGUCGAAGUCCUGCACAAACUCCAAUUCUUCAAGUUCUGCUGGAGUCUUCAGAUGAGCCAGUGUGGCCCAGGUGCGAUCAAAAACCUCAUGAAGAUAAUGAUGGUUAAGCUUCACAGCAUUCUGCGUUUCAUUGAGAGUUUUCACAAUGGCGUCGAACUAGCGUUUGACCCACUUGUGAUUGCGAUCCACCUUUUGGUGAAGACUGAGAAGAAGCUCUCUGGUAUUCAUCACCUAGGAGCAACAGGACUUGGAGGAUGGGUUUCAGUGUCAUCCCAUGAGGAAUAAGCAUCUGGCUCUCAGAACUGGCCAUCAAGGGGCCGACUGCCUUCAUCAAUGACAGACUUGCCUUUUCCUUCAACAGACUCGAAAGUUUCCUUGUUGACCCUUAGAGGAGGCAUAUAACCGAUAUGAUUGUUGAAAUCAGCGUGAUAGUUGAUGCCUGACCUGCGUAUGAUGAAUCUCAUGAUCCAUGGAGCGUAAAUCUUCAGGUCAAAAGGGGCAAUAGCAUUUUCUGCCAGAGUCCUCAAGAAUAAAUCAUGGAUGUUGAUGGGAAUGCCAUGUGUGAUGUUGAAGAGGAUAUUCUUCAUGAUGCCUAUGACGUCUUCUUCAUCAUCAUGGCCCUUGAUUGGCGCAAGAACGCUGCAGAGGAUUCUGUAAACCGUCCUGGGUUCAUACUUCAGCUCAUGGACCAGGAAGGUUGUUCUUGGUGGUUGCCCUUUAGCCAAAGGCUUCAUGAUGACUUCCAUCAACUUGUUUGCCAGCUCACGUUCAUCAUACAGCUUUACUACCUGCUCUGAGGGAAUUGACACUGGAAGUUCACGCAACAGCUCAUUGGUAGGAGCCUUGAAGUGUGUGUUCUGCGUCAUCCAAUCCAGCACCCAAGUGUUGAUGUGUGUUGGAUAUCCAGAGAUGUGCAGAGUGGUAUUGAAUUGAAGAACAAUGUCACUGUUCCAAUCGCAGAUAUCUGAGCACAUGGGUAGAAGUCCUGCUUCAUGAAGAACGUUGAGGACUGGAGCAAAGCAUGGAAUUUCUUCAAGCUCAACAUGAGGAAUAUGCCAGUGCUGGAAAAUCUUGUUUCUUCCACACAACACAGAUGCAUAGUAGUUGAGCCGCGUCCUUGUCGAAAACUUCAGUUGCCUGAUGCGAGGCUUGUCAUAGGGAUUUUCUCCAAUGAAGAACAUGCGUCCUUCAAAGAAGGAUUCCUUUUGAAACUUUCGCCGCUUGGAGAACGGCUGACGUUGCAUUGGCUGGAGAAUUUGCGGCUUGCCUUGAGGAGAGACAACCAUUGCAGUUUCUGGAUUGAGGACGACAAGAGCAUUCUCUGGAUCUGGUGCAUUUUCCUCAGCAUGUUCCUCAGAAUGAGGAAUUUCAUCUGCUUGUGCUUCAGGCUGAGGAGCAUGCUCUGGUUGAGGAAUAUCAUCAACGGGAGCUUCUGGUUGAGGAUUUUGCUCUCGAGGAGGAAUUGGUUCAUCCUGAGCCUCAGGUUGAGGAUUUUGCUCAGGAUUUUGAAUUUCAUCAGGCUGAGGAUUUUCACUUUGUUUUUCCUCAGCAUGAGGAGCUUGCUUGGUGGAGGAGCCAGAUUCAUGAGCUGGUGCAGCUGAUCUUUGAGCAGUUUCUUCAGGAGGAAUGAAGGACUAAGGACUGUCAUCAAUUCAAAUUUCCUCAUCAUUGUGUUCCUCAAACUCAGCAUUCUUCAUUUCCUCAUCAGCCCCGUGCUCCUUGUCUUUGCUUUCGAAGGGAUUCAUCUCAUAUGAUGGAGCAACGUUGAGAAGCACAGGAUCCAGAGGUGCAUUUUCAUCAAGAGAUUUGAGGCGCUUGGCCUCAAUUCUUCUGCAGAGGAAGCUUUUCUCUUCUUGGCUUCCUUUUCAGCAACUCUGGUCUUUUUCACGUCUGAUGCAGACGGAGUCAUUUUCUUCACCUUUGAAGCUUUUGGUGAAGGCGUUUUCUCAGUUGAAGCAGUUUCAUCAGCUGGAGCAGAGUCAUCAGCUGGCUUAGAAGCAGCUGGAGCAGUUUCACGAGCUGUAGCAGAGUCAUCAGCUGGGUUUUCCUUGAUAAUUUCCUCAAUAGCCGGUUCAUCAACACGGCUUUCUUGAGGGAUUUCCUCAGCAUGAGCAGUUUCAUCAGCUGGUUCUUCAAUCAGAGGCUGAGGUGUUAGUACUGGAGGGGCAGCCUUCUUGUUGUAAUCAUCAACUGCGUCAGUGGCAAAUUUGAUGAAAUUGUUUUUGAGACUUUGACGAUCAGAGACCUUAGUGUACUUGUCAGUCAAAGUCUUCAAUUUAGCCUGUGUGGAUACAAGUGCAUCAAGCGUCAAGUUGAGGAGAUUCUGUAUGAGGAAUUUCUCCUUUUUGAGCUUUGCAACCUUAGCUUGUUUGGCUUGCUGCUCUUUCCACUUGGCCUGGUUGAUGAAUGUGGCCACCAUGUGGCUGAUGCCUGGAGGAAGCUUCAAAUCAUCUAUUGGAGUGUUAGGGUCCUCAUACCAGAUGUUGAUGUAGUCCAGGAGGACUUUUGGGUCCAUGGCCAGAGGAAUAGAGCUGCCAGAAGCUUGUGCUACCCUCUCCUGCUUAUUUCUGUUGAUGGCUUGCAGAGUAUCAUCAUCAAAUUCAUCACUACCUUCUGAUGCAGAAGGAACUUUGAUGAUUUUGCUUGGGCUUGGUCUUGUUCCUCUCCCAGCAGUCACCUUAGUCUUCCGGGGAGUCAGUGAAGACUUUGUCUCGGAGCUUGUUGCAGACGGGACUGAGGAGCUGGAGAUAGUGGGCAGUUGCUUCAGUAUCUGCUUCUGUUCAGGCUUUGAAGCCUUUGGUGGUGUUGAGGGUUUUGGAGCUGAUGCUAGUGCAACUUUCUGAGGCAUUUUCUCUUGAGGCUUUGAAGCCUUUGGUUUUGGUGGCACAGACUUCAUGUGAGGAAUGACCAUACCAGAAGUCUCAGCUGCAGAGGAGGUGGCGGCAGUUGCAGCAGCAUCAGAUUCUUCACUGAAUUUCCUCACAACGGCUUCUGCUUGCUUCUGAAGCUUUGACAAGUGUUUUGACUUUUCUUCAGGAUAGUCAUCAAUUGUCUUGAGGCUUGAGGGGUGUGCAUCCUGAUAAUCCUCAAGAGGAGGCCGUUUGCAAGGAGGCUUCAGAGAGAAUUUCUUCGCAUACUUGGGAGUGACGAAUUUGUACUCUUUCCACUCCUUAGCCCAUCGGCGUUCUAUCUUUUGAAGCCUUAUCUUCCUCUUGGGCAUAGAUUCUUGCUCAUCACGUGUGCAAUAUUCCAAGUAUAUGUCUUGAGGGAUAUCUAUGGCAGUGUUCUGCUCGAGCUUGUUUCCACCCUUUUGCUUCCUUUCAUCUUCCAUUUUCUUCAGCUGAGGCUUUUGCUGAGGAAAUUGAGCUCUCGAGGAUUCUGAUGAAACUUGCAGAUUUUCUUCAAGAAACGCUGUAAAUGAGUUAAGUUGAUGAGAACCUAGAGAUUCAUCAGCUGACAUGUUUGUACCUGUGAACAUAGUAUAGUUGCGAGGAAUUUGGAGAGGUCAUUUGCGUUCUCAGAUUUGAUGAAAUGAAAAAAAUUGAAAGUUGAGGAAUUUGACCAGUGGUUGAGGAAUUCGUCUAAGCACACUGUUCUUGGGUUCCAGAGUUGUACAGAUUCGAAAAUUUGCACAAUGAGGAAUCUCGUGAAAAUCUUUGAUGCUUAGUGAAGUUCAUCAAUAGUUGAGUGAUAGGCAGUGUUUGAGGAAAAAGAAACUGAUGGAUACUUGAGGAAAAAUAGAUUUCACAUCUCUAAGGUAAAAUAGUAUAUCAAAAGAGCUGCAAAAAUAGGGUUUUUAUUUACCCUAGAUGGCGCACACGAAGAACAGAGAAGGUAGUAGCAGUAGAUGCUCUUCGGUGCGAGUCCAAUGCGCCCUAACUUGGCAACAGAGGACAACUACGGCGGCGGCGGACGAAUAUGGUCCGGUUCCGGCAUGGUUUCAGCGACGGAGAGGUCGAGGCAGUCAAGCUUUUCCUCGCCGGCGUCGAGACUUCUAGCGGUGGUGCUAGGGCUUUUGAGCUUUGCUGUAGCAGGAGGGCAAUGGGACAAAGAAGAUUUUACCGAAGGGAGAUGGGGACAUAUUUAUAGCCAGGCGGUAACUGUUGGCGCGAAAGUAUUGGACUAAAUAGCCCGUGUCUCUAUGUCUCCGCAGGACACGUGUAGCCCACGACUGAGGCGGUGGAGAUCGUGGAGAUCGUGGUUAUCCGAACGGGGAAAGUGGGGUUCAGUUAACAAAAAUAUUUUUGAAGAUUUGAGGAUUUUGUUACACAAUCAUCAGCUGACAAGGACGCAGUGAGGAUUUGAACAAAGUUUCAAGUAGAACGCAUAUGAAGAAUUGAAUAGACUAGAUGAGAGUAGCAUAGAGGGAAAGUAGGGUCCGAUCACAUUCACUUAGAGGAAAUACCAAAUUGAAGAAUAUAGCUAUAAGUGAAUGCUGUUGAGGACUUGAAACACAGUCUAUCUAGGUAAAUGAAAAUCAUCAAGUGUUUUUGAAUAUUUUGAUUAACUUGAGGAUUUUGUGACAAUGCGUCAUGAUGAUGAAUUUCAGUUUUGAAGAAAAACAAGUUUGAAGAACAACUGUUUUGAAGAAAAUCAACUUUUGAAGAAAAUGAGCUUUGAAGAAAUUCAACUUGAGGAAUUUCAAGUUGGGUGGUGGCGUGACCCACCAUAUAAGAAUGUUGAUUACAGACGCCGCGUACAAUUGUCGUAGGGCCCCGAGAAUCAAUUUCUUCGUUGAUUUCCUCACACUAAGAGUGAUAUUCUUCAUUGGUUGAAGAAAAUUGAUUCAUCGUGUGUUGCACAUCUAAGUCAUAAAUUUUGCAUAAGUGUUAGGAUGUGUGCAAGUUUUUACAAAACAUUUGAAGAUUCUAAGAUAUUUAGCUCACACCGCAACUUGCAAAACCUUUUCUCAUCCAAGGGCUUAGUGAAGAUAUCUGCCAGUUGAUCGUCAGUCUUCACAUGGUCGAUGAGGAUAUUGCCCUUGAGGACAUUGUCCCAAACAAAAUGAGGACGAAUCUGGUUGUGCUUGGUCUUCGAGUGCUGUACUGGGUUGUAUGCAAUCUUGAUUGUACUCUCAUUGUCGCGGUAGAGAGGCACAUUCUUCAUGUUGAUGCCGUAGUCCUUGAGGGUUUGCUUCAUCCAUAGCAAUUGAGCACAACAUGAACCAGCAACAAUGUACUCAGGUUCGGCAGUG